GAUGAAGAACGCAGCGAAAUGCGAUAGGUAAUGUGAAUUGCAGAAUUCAGUGAAUCAUCGAAUCUUUGAACGCACGUUGCGCCCUUUGGUAUUCCUUAGGGCAUGCCUGUUCGAGCGUCACUACACACCUUAUCACAAUAUUUGUGGUCUUGGCAGGAGUGAAUUGCUGGUCUAUGGAAGUAUUCCAGCAGUACACAAUGCUAAAAAAUAUGGGAAGGUUACCAGAUAUGAACAACAGACUUUGUAAAUGGUUGUAGGACCUAGAUCAGUCACAAGUCAUGUCUGGUCCCUUACCUUAAGGACCCCCAUCCUAGAUGAACUAUGGGUUGACCUCGGAUCAGGUAGGAAUACCCGCUGAACUUAAGCAUAUCAAUAAGCGGAGGA
rnacentral:misc_RNA from 1 species